rnacentral:rRNA from 1 species
CUAGAGGUGAAAUUCUUGGAUUUAUUGAAGACGAACUACUGCGAAAGCAUUUGCCAAGGAUGUUUUCAUUGAUCAAGAACGAAGGUUAGGGGAUCGAAAACGAUCAGAUACCGUUGUAGUCUUAACAGUAAACGAUGCCGACUAGGGAUCGGACGAGGAUUUUUAAUGACUCGUUCGGCACCUGAAGAGAAAUCUUUAAGUCUAGGUUCGGGGGGGAGUAUGGUCGCAAGGCUGAAACUUAAAGGAAUUGACGGAAGGGCACCACCAGGUGUGGAGCCUGCGGCUUAAUUUGACUCAACACGGGGAAACUCACCAGGUCCAGACACGACAAGGAUUGACAGAUUGAUAGCUCUUUCUUGAUUUCGUGGUUGGUGGUGCAUGGCCGUUCUUAGUUGGUGGAGUGAUUUGUCUGGUUAAUUCCGAUAACGAACGAGACCUUAUCCUGCUAAAUAGCCCGGCCGACUUUGGUUGGUCGCUGGCUUCUUAGAGGGACUAUCAGCGUUUAGCUGAUGGAAGUUUGAGGCAAUAACAGGUCUGUGAUGCCCUUAGAUGUUCUGGGCCGCACGCGCGCUACACUGACCGAACCAGCGAGUUUAUCACCUUGGCCGGAAGGCCUGGGUAAUCUUGUGAAACUCGGUCGUGAUGGGGAUAAAGCAUUGCAAUUAUUGCUUUUCAACGAGGAAUACCUAGUAAGCGUGAGUCAUCAGCUCGCGUUGAAUUCGUCCCUGCCCUUUGUACACACCGCCCGUCGCUACUACCGAUUGAAUGGCUUAGUGAGGCCUUCGGAUUGGCUUUUGGGAGCCGGCAACGGCACCUAAUUGCUGAGAAGUUGUACAAAC